rnacentral:rRNA from 1 species
GGAUGAACGCUGGCGGCGUGCUUAACACAUGCAAGUCGAACGGUGAAGCCAAGCUUGCUUGGUGGAUCAGUGGCGAACGGGUGAGUAACACGUGAGCAACCUGCCCUGGACUCUGGGAUAAGCGCUGGAAACGGCGUCUAAUACUGGAUAUGAGCUCUCAUCGCAUGGUGGGGGUUGGAAAGAUUUUUCGGUCUGGGAUGGGCUCGCGGCCUAUCAGCUUGUUGGUGAGGUAAUGGCUCACCAAGGCGUCGACGGGUAGCCGGCCUGAGAGGGUGACCGGCCACACUGGGACUGAGACACGGCCCAGACUCCUACGGGAGGCAGCAGUGGGGAAUAUUGCACAAUGGGCGGAAGCCUGAUGCAGCAACGCCGCGUGAGGGAUGACGGCCUUCGGGUUGUAAACCUCUUUUAGCAGGGAAGAAGCGAGAGUGACGGUACCUGCAGAAAAAGCGCCGGCUAACUACGUGCCAGCAGCCGCGGUAAUACGUAGGGCGCAAGCGUUAUCCGGAAUUAUUGGGCGUAAAGAGCUCGUAGGCGGUUUGUCGCGUCUGCUGUGAAAUCCCGAGGCUCAACCUCGGGCCUGCAGUGGGUACGGGCAGACUAGAGUGCGGUAGGGGAGAUUGGAAUUCCUGGUGUAGCGGUGGAAUGCGCAGAUAUCAGGAGGAACACCGAUGGCGAAGGCAGAUCUCUGGGCCGUAACUGACGCUGAGGAGCGAAAGGGUGGGGAGCAAACAGGCUUAGAUACCCUGGUAGUCCACCCCGU